AGACAAUGGUUCCUGUAACGGGAUGAAAAGGGAAUCCGGUCAAGUCGGAAGGACGAUUCCGGAGCUGCCCCCGCAACUGUAUACGGUAGUGUGCACCUGUAAACCACUGGGUAACCGGGAAGGAAGGUGUUUCGCAAUGAUCCGCAAGCCAGGAGACCUGCCAUUGAUGAUU
rnacentral:ncRNA from 1 species